rnacentral:pre_miRNA from 1 species
UCUUCUUUCUGCACACUAUCUCAACGGUCAGAGAGGCGAGAAAGUGUGUGAAAUGAAGAGA